GCAUGAGUAAUGGGAUUACGUUGAUCGCACUCAGAUAAAAACAUUACUUUUGUAGGGAUUGGUUUUGCUGGUUUGACAAUGUGAGAGGCUAUCAAGUUAACCAUUGUGAGAAGGAAAGAGAAUAAUGGGAGUGAGAAUUGCAAGAAGGAAAAAAGUAUGGCAGCUGGGAGACUUUGUGAGAAGGAAAGGAUAUUUUGAGGGUUAGAUUUUGGCUGUGGUAGCAAAGUGCCGCCAGCAUACGCUUAUAUAGACCCGAGAUUUAUAUAAAAAUUGUGAAGACUUGCUUUACAUGUAGGGACGGCAAUUUUCGAUUAAAUUUGAAAACAUCACACGAACUUAAUACGAUACUAAUGGGCUUGAAUUGAAAUUUCGCAGGUUUGGAUCAGAAUCGAGUCGAACCUAAUGAACCUGAAAAGAAAACAGGUCGAAUUUAGGUUAAUAAGUGAAUAUUUAACGUACAUUUUGUACGAAUUUGGCAUGAAUUUUGGUAUGUUUUGAGAAGAUUAAAGCCAUAUUUGAACUCUUUUGGUGAUAAUUGCUUAAAUAUUGUUUAAGGGUUAAGAAUUUGAUAAAUGAGUGAAUUAAUGCGUUAAUUUUGUGAAAUUGUGAAGGUAAUUGAUGUAUGAAAUUUAUGCACAAGUUGAAAGAAAUGUCAGGGUCAUCCAGAGGACAAAGUAUACAAGAAAUUGGGAGCAAAAAUGUAGAAAAAGGGAAGAAGUGAAAAACUGGAAAAUUGCUCAACGCUCAACACGGAUCCGAGCUCGGAUCCGUGUGUAUAAGAGGGAUCCGACCCCUCGUCUGUACUUCUGGCAGAGUGUAUCCGAGGUCAGGACGAUCCGACCUCGGAUCCACCAAGGGAAGACCUCGGAUCCUAUAAUCCGAGCUCGGAUCCAUUUCCAGCCCUCGGAUCCGAGGCUCAGAUCUGUCUCUCUCCUCAGUAAGUGCCACAGCCGUUUUUCUUUACCUUUUUCACAACUUUCCAGCUAUUUUGAGGGACAGAAAUCGGUGGCACAUGCUUCUGCAACAAAAGAGAAGACCAAAUGAGUAUGGACAAAAGGAAAUAUCAUAUCUUUGACUUCUUUUUACAAAAUCUGAGUGGAGGAAAUUAUGAAGUGAGAGGAAUGGAAUUUCUCCCACCUUUUUAUGCAGAAACACAGAGGAGAAGCUGGGAUUACCAUACGUAACUAGUUUUUCAUUUUGUAACAUUUUUUCUCUCUAGAUAGGAGUACUUGGAGAAGCAUUUUUUUUGGAGAGUUUCACUUAUAAUCAUAUUGUGCAAGAACAUAGCAGGAAUUGGAGAGCUUCACCUUCAAUUGGCUAAGCUUUCUUUUAUCUUUCUCAUACUUGUACUUUAUGAUGUUUUGCAUUAAUAAACUUGUGAGUUUGAUUGUUAAAUCAUUCAUGAGUAGCUAAACUCCUUCAUCUAGGGAGUAGAUGAAACUUAUGGCUAAAUAAUACUAAUUGAAUGUGAUUUACACUUGUUAUAUCUUGUAUUAACUUGUCUACUUGUGUAGCUGUUAUACUUGUUAUUGAUUGAUCACCAAUAGCAUGUUUAUAGUGUUAUUAUUCAAUGAGAAUUGGUAAUAACAAUUGAAACACAUGAGUAGAGUUUGAGUUGUAUGUUCAUGAAAAUAGAGAUACACUUAGGUGGAUUAUUGAGCAUUUCAUGAAAUAAAACGGAGUAGUAGUAGUAUUUCACCAUGAAAAUAGGGAAAUCUAUAUUGCUCUAGGCCAUUUCAUCAUGAAAAUGAGAUUUGGUAAUCUUGGAAAUAAAUCUCUGGUUAAGCAAGAAUAAUAGCAAGAAGUAAAUCCAUUCAUUUGUGUAGUUUAUGCCAUAAGUGGAAUCUACAUCCCUAGAAUCUUCCUUAAGUGAAAUUUCUCUAUUUGUAUUCAGCAUUUGUUAAAUUAGAUUUGUAUAUCAGAUUUGUAGAUUACAGCAUUAGACUUUCUCUGCUCAAAUUAAUUGUAAGUCUAAAUAAUAGAGAGAACAAGGGCUUAGUAAUUGUUUAAAUUACUUCUCGUGGGAUCGACCCGAUACACAUUUUGUACUACAAUUGCGACCUGUAUACUUGCAGUCCAACGGGUGUAAAAUCGGAAUUAAACUUGCAUUGAUACAAAAAUCCCGUCAAGUUUUUGGCGCCGUUGCCGGGGAGCGGCAAUAUUAGGGCCUAAUCAUCUCUAUUAAUUUAGACAGAUUUAUUUUUUAGAUUAUAUUUAAUCUUAUAUUGUAAUCAGUUUUUUUUACCAUUGAAGUUGCAUAAUAUCCCUUAUUUCUGUUUGUAGUGUAUGCACCGGGAGUCUCGAGAAGUCGCACCUUUCAAUCCAGAAAUUGAGAGGACACUAUGUAGACAAAGGAGGCACACACAACAGCAAGAGGAACAAGAGAUUUGGCAACCCAUAGAGGAAAUUUUGAUAGAACUACCGUUUGAAGAAGAAAUGGCCGAAAACGAAGCAAAUAGGCGAGUUCUACGAGAUUAUGCUCUACCGGGAACACAAGGAUCUCAAACAAGCAUAGCAAGGCCUACGGUAUGUAGACACCAAAUUUUUGGUGUAAUUUCAUUUACUGUUUAUUUUUUUUAGUUUUUAUUUGUCGUGUUAGUUUUAUUCGAUUUUUAGUUUUUAGUUUAUAGUUUUAUUUUUAUUUUUAAGUUUUUAGCGUAGAAUUUCUCGGAAAAAAAGAAGAAAAAGAAAAAAAGCUUUCAAAAAAAAAUAUGCUUUAUUUGUUUUGAUUUAAAUUCAAUGUUCACUAAAAUGUGUUUAUUUCUUUUAAAUUCAAUUUUGCAGCGUUUCUUUUAAAAAUAUUUCAUUACGUGUUAAAAAAUGAGAAAAAAGAGACAGGCUUAUGGACCUUGAGAAGCGUAGGAUUAUAACCUUUCCUCAUUGUUUCUUUUCGGCAAAACGCAGAUACAAAAAUGGUUUUCUUAGCUCAUUUGCCGGUUUUUCCCUUCAUUUUUUACUCCGUUUGAUCGCUCCACUUGGCCCUCAUCUGUCAAAGCUGGAAGUUGAAGAUGAUCGGAUGAUCGAGGAAAUGCGGUGAGAUGAGAUUUUAUACCAUCCAAAGGGGUAGUGCACAAGGUAAGGUAGGAUCCGAUUAUUUUCAUAGAGUGAUCUUUGGAAUAUGAGCAUCUAAUAAUCACUUUUUGGCCGUUUUAUCAAAAAUUGGUAAAAAUCCCUUGCGUGAAGGACAUUAAUUUGAAGAAAUUCACAAAUGAUUCCUCCUUUUGAGACGAUAAAUAAAUUCAGGCCAAAAUUUGAUUUUUAGAAGGUCAUAAACUAAUGCACCUCAAUGAUUUUGAAAUAACCAAUGGCCGGACAAUUCAACCAAUCCAUUUUGCCGAUUCAUUUCAAUAAAUCGUCAAUUCAUUUUGACCAAUUUACCCUUUUUAGGGUCAUUCGGUCGAUUUUGAAUAAAACGUCAAUUCAUUUGACCAAUUUACCCUUUUUUAGGGUCAUCCGGUCAAUUUUUGAAAAAUCAUCCAUUCAUUUGACCAAUUUACCCUUUUUAGGGUCACCUGGUCGAUUUUGAAUAAAACGUCAAUUCAUUUGACCAAUUUACCCUUUUUUAGGGUCAUCCGGUCAAUUUUUGAAAAAUCAUCAAUUUCAUCUGACCAAUUUACCCUUUCUAGGGUUAUUCGGUCAAUUUUUGAAUAAAUCAAUUUCAUCUGACCAAUUUACCCUUUUUAGGGUCGUUCGGUCAAUUCAUCAAUUUCAUUCAAUUCAUUUGACCAAAUUACCCUUUUUAGGGUCAUCCGGUCGAUUUUGAAUAAAUCAUCAAUUCAUUUGACCAAAUUACCCUUUUUAGGGUCGUUUGACCAAAUUACCCUUUUUAGGGUCGUUUGACCAAUUUACCCUUUUUAGGGUCAUCCGGUCGAUUUUGAAUAAAUCAUCAAUUCAUUUGACCAAAUUGCCCUUUUUAGGGUCGUUUGACCAAUUUACCCUUUUUAGGGUCAUCCGGUCGAUUUUGAAUAAAUCGUCGAUUCAUUUUACCAAUUUACCCUUUUAGGGCGAUCUGGCCAACUUUGAAUAAAUUCUCAAUUUCAUUCAAUUCAUUUGACCAAGUUCUUUUUUUUUUAGGACGAUCCGGUCAAUUUUGAAUAAAAUUCUCAAUUUCAUUCAAUUCAUCCGAUCAAGUUCCUUUUUUAGGAUGAUUCGGUCAAUUUUGAGUAAGUUUUAAAUUUCACUCAACUCAUUUGACCCGUUUCCCUUUUUAGGGUAAUCCGGUCGAUUUUUAAUAAAUUGUCAAUUUCAUUUGACCAAUUAGGGUUUCAAUGUCGGAUUUCAAAACUUAGUCGAUUUUUGAGAAAAUCAUCCAUUUUAUCCAAUCCAUUUUGUCAAUUCAUUCAUCAAUUUCAUUCAAUUCAUCUGACCAAUUUACCCUUUUUAGGGUCAUCCGGUCAAUUUUUGAAAAAUCAUUCAUUCAUUUGACCAAUUUACCCUUUUUAGGGUCAUCCAGCCGAUCUUUGGAUAAGUCAUCAAUUCAUUGGACCAAUUUACCCUUUUAGGGUGAUUUGGUCGAUUUUUGCAUAAGUUAUCAAUCUCCAUUUCAUUCAUUUGGCUAAUUCACCCAUUGGUAGGGCAAUCGAACCAAUUUUGAAUAAAUCAAGUUUUCAUUUAGUCCGUUUGUCCAAUCUACCCUUUUUUAGGGUGAUUCGAUCAAUUUUUGAAUAAAUCAAUUUCAUUCAAUUCAUCUGACCAAUUUACCCUUUCUAGGGUUAUUCGGUCAAUUUUUGAAUUCGGUCAAUUUUUGAAUAAAUCAAUUUCAUUCAAUUUAUCUGACCAAUUUACCCUUUCUAGGGUCAUUCGGUCAAUUUUUGAAUAAAUCAAUUUCAUUCAAUUCAUCUGACCAAUUUACCCUUUUUAGGGUCGUUCGGUCAAUUCAUCAAUUUCAUUCAAUUCAUUUGACCAAUUUACCCUUUUUAGGGUCAUACGGUCGAUUUUGAAUAAAUCAUCAUUUCACUCAAUGCGUUUGAUCAAUUGACUUCAUUUAGUUCAUUUGAUUCAUUUAAUUCAUUUUUUAGGGUUAUCCAUUCGAUUUUGAAUAAAUAAUCAAAUUUCAUUCAAUGCAUUUGACCAGUUUACCCUUCUUAAGGUAAUCUAGUCAAUUUUUGAAUAAACCAUCAAUUUCAUCCUAUGCAUUUGACCAGAUUUCCCUCUCUUAGGGUUUCGGUCUAAGGUUCACUGAAUGACCUAGUCUAAACAUUGCAAUCUCUUUUACACGUCAUUUUUUGUGUCAAUCAAGGCAAGCAAUCCAUUCGGACUUUGUCCUAAUUUUUAGGACAAAUGUGUCUUUUCACUCCAAUUGGAGGCCAAAUCUUUCAAAUCAUUUUUUUUCACCCAAUCAACUGAUCGGAUUCAUCAGGUAUUGUAUGGUGCCUACCCUAGAGGAUUGCAUUUUCAUGCUAGGCCUACCUUUGGCACAAAAAGGGCUCCCCCAUAGGACAUGCAUACCGAUUUUGCAGUCUUGUUUACUAACUCGGGUUAUUUUUCUUUUGUUUUUCCCCUCCCCUGUAUUCAUAAAAAAUGUUUCAAUAAGGCAAAAAUAUUUUUCUACAUUUGAUAACAUUUCUGAUCUAAUAAAGUGUGAAAAUUACAAGUAUUAUUUGAUUCUUGGGCAGACCCUACAAUGGAAACGUAAAAGAUCCAUCUGAAAGUUCUAGACUAAGAGCUUCUAAGAGAUUUCACAAUUAUUUUUCAAAGAAGACUCUGUAUAUUGGAUUUGUUAAUACAUUCUUGUUCCCAAAAGAGGCAGAAAUGUGUAUAUGGGGAGUUCUUAGAAGUUUUUCUCUUCUCAUUUGUAUUAUAAUUGAAUGAGCAUUUUGUUUCAAACUCUUUCAGCAAUAAAAUUUUUGGACAAUUAUUGUUUUGUAUAUCCAUGUACAUUUCAUUCUUUUUGCUCAUUGGAAAUUUCAUGAUGAAUUUUAAGAAAAUAAGACUAAAUUGAGAUUUCCUCAACCUCCAGUCUGAAAAUUCACAAGUGUAUGCUUUCUAAAAUUCUUGCGUACACUAGAUUGGUGAUCCGAGCUAUCCAAUAAGAGUGCUCAAAGUUAAAAGAAGUCACUCAAAAGACCCAAUGAGAUACCUUUUUUUUCUUUACUAUACAAUUCAUAUUUUGCCCACUCCUAUUGACCCCAAAAUAAAAUCAGUCACAUUGAUUGAUAAAUUGCAAAUUGGGGCAAUCUUUGCUUGGAAAAAUGUCCAUAGCGUCUAAUUAGAUUCAAUUCACAUCUCAAUGAAAGCAAAAAUGUGCAUUAUUCUUGUUUGUUUUGAAAAUUUGGAAUGAUACUUUAAGUAUUCGUUUCUCUAUCCAUACAGUUUUUAUCAUUUGCUCUCCCAUUUGAGCCUUUAAAAGAAUAAUUUCGUUUCAAAUAAGAGUCUUAAAGCUCACUACCCUACAUUGGAAAAUUUUCGCAUAUCAAAAGGGGAAUGGAUUCUCAAUGAGCGUUUCGUCACCUUAAUUGUCAUGGAGCGUAAGAAUGAUGCUUUGGCCGUCGUUUCUACAAUCUAAACACAAUUUACCCCUUGCAUUCUCAUUUGAGCUAAAUUGAUGGUUCUUUUCAAAGCACCUAUGAUCGCACCCCACAUUGGGGAGGGAGAUUGGAGAUUUUUCCAAAAAGAAAAAGAAAAGCAAAAAAUGGUAAAACUAAAAAGGGGGAACCGCAAAUUGGGGAAAUUUGAUUCUACCUGAGCUUCAAUUGUAAGAAAAAGAAGAGUGAAAAGAAAAGAAAAGAAAAGUUGUCUGGCGGAUCCUCUAUGUUUCACAGAUAUGGAUGACCAAGGGUCUUCCUCAGUCAAUUAAUUCAGAUACAUGCCAAAAAUUUCGCAUUAAUGAAAGUUUCCUUUCAGAGUUAUUGUAAGGAACGGAAUACAAGUCAGACCAUCUUCUUUUUCCGAUCAAGCAUUCUAUCCCUAGUUAUCCCUUUUGAGCCUUCAGAAUAAAAUACUUCAUUUGGCAACCCCUGAGAAUCGCAAACCCCACACUGGGGCAAGUUUGAGUUGAAAAAGAAAUUUCAAGAAGUGAAAAGGUGAAAAAUCACAAAAUCAAAGGACAAAAGAAGAAAAGAGAACCUCAGUUCAAAAAUAAACUGGGGCAAAUUUUGUCAAAUUUCAAAAAAAUGGCAGAAAGCCGAAAAGUCAAAAGAAGAAAGAAAAUGAAAGAGAAAAAGCCUCAAUUGAGCAUAAACUGGGGCAAAUUCUGAUUUAGCCCUAAAAUAGGGUUGGCGCAGCAAUGCGAUCUCAGAUUAUUCAAACCACUUUUGAAAUCCGCUUUCAAGCCUUAACUUUUCUAAGCACCCCACCAGACCCCAUUACAAAAGCUGAAAAGUCCUGACUUCUGUUCUUUGCAAUGGCCCUGUCAAGAAAAUUUCUGAUGCCGGAAAAUUUUAGCUGUAUUUCUGAAUUGCUUGAGUAUGGGGGCUGACUCUACUCACCAUGUGAAAACCCAUCAGCUCGAGGGAAAAGAAAAGAAGCGAAAGAAAAGCAAGAAAAGAAAAUGCCGAAAAUUCGACGCUGAAGUCCCUGGGGAAUGAUGAGAAAAUCCAAACAAAGUUCAGAAUUUUCGAGUUCAAAAUAGGGGCAAUUUUGGAAAAAUGCGAUCUUCGGAGCUAUGUCCUUGAAAGUUUUAUUUUUUAGCUAUCGUUUUCAAGCCACAUUACAAGCUAACAAAGUCCAUCGUUGACUUAUUCCUUCAUGACAAUCCAAAGGGAGGAUCAUGCUCAUAAGAAAUUCAUCAAAUCAUUUGUGAUCAUAAGGGUAUAACCCUUUCCCACAUGUUUAGCUAUCACUUCUGUCCAUACGUUACAAGCCUAGAAGCUUGCAUGUUGACUACGUUUUCUUAAGAAAUGAGGGUGACAAACUAUUUGCUUUCACUAAGAUGUGACAUUUGAUGGAUUACAUACAACUGGGGCACAAAAAUGAGACAAAUUCUGACUUCCCAUUUCCUUAGCCAUUUCAAAAAUAAAGUCACUUGAUUGGUCCCGAAAAGAUGAGCCAACUGAAAAUGGUGACUCAUUACCCAAAGCACAGAUGCUAAAAAAUGAGGAAGAAAUCCUCUGUGAUUUGGUUUUAUUUCAAGAAAUUCAUCAUGAAGUUUUUCUUUUUGGAAACAUAGUUUCUUACUAUGUUCAGUAAAUGGAAAGUCAUCCAAACAAGUUUUUGCAAUUAAAUGGCCCAUACUGGGGCAAAUUUUUGUUAUGAGAUUUCGUGAAAACAAGCCCACACUGGGGCAAAAUUUUUAUAGUUCAUUUGAGGAUUUCGUCCAAGAAUCAAAUAAUGCAUUUUUCAAAUCAAUCACGCUGUUUCUUUUCAUGAAAUUCAAGUGCAUGUCAUAUUUUGGUAAGCCCCUGUGCAGGUAUUCAUAGUUGAAAUCGACGAAGGAGCAUCUGGUGAUGUGGAAAGCCGACGCCGAAGAAAGAAAAGAAAGAAGGGAAAAGGGCCCUACACUGAGGGCAAAUUAUUUUGAAAAAGAUUCUCUCAAAAAAAUCAAAAAAUCAAAAAAUCAAAAAAUCAAAAAAAUCAGAAAAAAAUCAAAAAAAUCAAAAAAAUCAAAAAAACAAAAAAAUCAGAAAAAAUCAAAAAAAUCAAAAAAUCAAAAAAUCAAAAAAAAAUCAAAAAAUCAAAAAUCAAAAAAUCAAAAAAAAAAUUAAAAAAUCAAAAAAUCAAAUCAAGUUCAUCACGGCAGGAUCGGGUUUAAUCCCACUGUCCGAUUGUCAAAGCAUUUCAUUUUCAAAGCCACUGGAGCCUGAGGUUAGUCCCACCAGUGAGCAUUUCCUUUUCGUUCGCCACUAGCCGUGGGUCAGUCCCACUAGUGAGCAUUUCAUUUGCAUCACUAACAAACAUGAGUCGGUCUCAUUAACACUUCAUUUCACUGCUUUCAUUUGCAUCACUAACAAACAUGGGUCGGUCUCAUUAACACUUCAUUUCACUGCUUUCAUUUGCAUCACCAAUAAACAUGGGUCAAUCCCACCAACACACCAUCUCACUUCAAUUCAUCUCGUUUAAAUUUCUGUUCGGGUCAGUCCCGUUUAAAAUUCUGUUUGGGUCAGUCCCGUUUAAAUUCCGUUCGGGUCAGUCCCGUUUAAUUCCUGUUCGGGUCAGUCCCGUUUAAAUUCUGUUCGGGUCAGUCCCGUUUUAAAUUUCUGUUCGGUCAGUCCGUUAAUUUUUGUUCGGGUCAGUCCCGUUUAAAUCCUUGUUCGGCGGUUUUUUAAUUCUGUUCGGGUCAGUCCCGUUUAAUUUCCGUUCGGUCAGUCCCGUUUAAAUUCCUGUUCGGUCAGUCGUUUAAUUCUUCGGGUCAGUCCGUUUUAAAUUCCUGUUCGGGUCAGUCCCGUUUAAAAUUCCUGUUCGGGUCAGUCCCGUUUAAAUUCUGUUCGGGUCAGUCCCGUUUAAAUUUCUGUUCGGGUCAGUCCCGUUUAAAAUUCCUGUUCGGGUCAGUCCCGUUUAAAUUCUGUUCGGGUCAGUCCCGUUUAAAUUCCUGUUCGGGUCAGUCCCGUUUUAAUUUCUGUUCGGGUCAGUCCCGUUUAAAUUCUGUUCGGGUCAGUCCGUUUAAAUUCCUGUUUAAAAUUUGUUCGGGUCAGUCCCGUUUAAAUUUCUAUCUCGAGUCAGUCCCGAUUUUUAAAUUUCCCGUCAGGGGUCAGUCCCGUUUAAAUUCCUGUUCGGGUCAGUCCCGUUUAAAUUCCUGUUCGGGCCAGUCCCGUUUAAAUUUCUAUCUCGGGUCAGUCCCGAUUUUUAAAUUUCCCGUCAGGGGUCAGUCCCCAUCGUUUGAGUAAUUCGCAGCUGAAUAACACAGGUAAGUUUUGGUGUCUACUUCUUUGUCUCAAGUUUUUCCAAAACUCAGACAAAGAGGGGCAAACUGUAGACACCAAACUUUUGGUGUAAUUUCAUUUUUAGUUUUUUAUUUGUCGUGCUCAUUUUUAGUUUUUAGUUUCCAGUUUUAUGUUUACUUUUAAGUUUUAUCAUAGAAUUUGUUGAAAAAGAAAAAAGAAAAAGCAUUCAAAAAAUAUGAUUUAGUCGUUUGUAAUUUUUAUUCAAUGUUUUUUUGAAAGAAAAAUGAAAAUGAAAAAUCAUAAAAAAUGAAAAAAUGAAAAAAAAGAGAAAAAGGAAAAAAGGAAAAAAAGAAAAGAAGCAAAGAACAAAAAAUGAAAGUGGAAAAUAAACAAAUGAAAGCGAAAAGUAGAAAAUAGCAGUUUUGCCGCUUUUUAUUUUUAGUUUAUUCAUUUUCACUUGACGAUUAAUUAAAUUACUGUUUUUUACUUUAUUUUACCAUUUCAUCUAUUAAUUUGGAAAAAACAAGAGAAAAAGAAAAGAAAGGGAAAAAAGAAUAAUUAGCGUUAGCGUUUCAUUUUAAUUUAGCUUUUCUUCAUUAGUUUUCUUUUAUUAUUAUGUAUUUUGUUAAUUAGUUAUCAAUGUUAAUCAAUUAAUUUUCUUGAAAACUAAAAAAAAAAAAAAAAAAUGAUCGCGGCCUGCAAGCUGCAUUUUUGGCAGCUUGCAAAGGGCUAGCUUCGUGCGUGCCACUGAAGGGCAGGAUGAAGGCAGAGGCUGGCCUUCAUCCUGACCAUUCAGUGGAGGGUUUAAGAGCCUUUGACUCCCAUAUAAAUAGGAAAAGAAAGGAGAGCCGCAAGGGGAGAGGGGUAGAGAGAGGAGCAUACGAGAGGCUUAUGGACGGCAUAAAGGAGAGACAGGCUUAAGGGGGUUGAGGAGGGAAAAACCAGAAGGCUGCAGGGGAUUUUUGGGAGUUAACAGCGGAAAGAAAACUGGGCUGAGGGGAGUUCAUCGGGGCAGAGGAAGAAGAAAGCUUCGAGCUUGGGGGGAGCACCGGAAGAAAGGCGAGGAAGACACAAGAGAGAGCUGCGGGGGGUUUGACUGGAAGAACUGGAAAUAGAAAAGGAAGGUGACGGGCUAGAGGAAAAGGAACAAAUCGAGAAGAAAAACUGGGGUUACGGGUGGAGAGUUGGAGGAAGAAAGGGAGAACCGAGUGAGCGAGAGAGGGAGUGGGCUGAGCAGAAGAAAAGAAAACCAGGGUUUUCGGAGGAAAGGGAGAGGAGGAACUACGGCUGAGUGAGGAGCUGGGGGCGGCGAACAGAAAACCAGAAAAGGAAGAAGAAAUUUUCUGCAAAAAUUUCGGCAGAACGGGCUGAUUUUCGGCACACCUUGCGGCAUGAUUAUCUCCGGUCUGGUUGUUCAAUCCGAUUGGAUUUUUGUUUCUGCACCAAUUGGGGAGUAAGGGGAGGAUUUCUUGUUCAGAAAUUGUUCGCAAAUAACAACGGGAAGAUCGUCAAAUCUGGCCACAAAGAAGCUGCUCUGCCUCCGCUGCACCGAACGAAAACGCAGCAGAAACUUUUGCUUUGGCCCAGCAAUUCAGGUGAUCGUUUUUGCUUCUCCCUUUCUUGUUUUAACGUUGCAUUCAUGAGAACUCGAGUCCAAAAGGCAUGAAUCUUGUGAUAUUUCGCUUGACUCCUUGACUUUUAUCAUGGUUGCUGUUUUAAUGUCUCGUUGGUUGCUGUUUUGUGGGGUUGGCGAAAUUCCGAUUGUUAGGUUUUAGCAAUAAGAGGUGUAAGUCUCACAUUCUGCUAGCUUGGGGGCUUGAUAGUCUUGUUGUAGGCUGAAUGAUCGAUGAUUUAUUAGUGGAGUUGUUUACUGAUAAAUGAAAUCCAGAAAUUUGUGGAUGUUGCAUUACGUGCCUUUAGGUUUUCCUCUUGUGCAUGAUUUGGAUUGUAUGACCCUGGAAAAUGCAUAAUAUAUGAUUGUGACUUGUUGAUAAGAGGCGUAAAGUGUUGCUUUGACUCAAAAGAUUGCUGUUUUUGGGUUGAUUUUGUUAGCCGUGUAUGCCCAAGAUGUCAUAGUUGUGAAGUUGCUGAAAUUCUUUUCAGUCUUUGUAUACUCUUUCUCUCGGAUUUUUCAUGUGUAAACGUAAGGCUCUGCGGGUGAAAAAUGGAAAGGUUGCUGGAUGAUCCUGUUGUGUUGAUCCAAAUUUGUUAGUUUGGCCAUUAGUUAUCUUUAGAUUGCAUUCAAGAAACCAGCGAGAGAGAAGAGAGUUUUGAUAAUAAAAUGCAUGAACUGUCAAAUAUUUUGUUGCAUUUCUUGAGUUUCCCCGUUUUCCUGGCCUGAUUUCUCCUGGUUGAUGGAUGAGUGAAGAUGUGUGUGAGUCAGGUGGAUGAACAAGGAGUUUUUUGUACAUUCAUUGGCACUUCAUUUGCAUGAAUCAGAGCCGCAUAGUACUGCAGCAGAAAAAUUGCAGCAAGCCUCUUUAGCCGCUGCAUUUUUUUUUUCCCCUUAGCAGAAAGCCUUGUCCGCAUUCUUGUUUGCACGAGGGUCCUUAGUGUUUUCUGAUUUUUGCCAUUCCCUUGCAUGACUGAUAAGAACUUGAAGUUGGUUUUCGAUUUGAGAGGUUGAAACGAAUCUACCAUGCAAAAUGCUGAAGUUUAAAAUCAUUUUUGCAUGAAAAGUUCUUUGGUUUUGGUUUAAUUUCCUACUCCCUGCUUGUUUGAAGAUUUAAGUUUAUGUGUCUUAAUGCUUAGUACAAAGUUUUGGAUGUUGGGCUUAGAAGUUUUUGAUCAAAACUUCGAUAUCAAAUCUGAAGUUGCAACAGAUUUUCUUGUUGUAGGAAGCUUCUUCGUGCCUUUUUGCAGAAUAUCUCUUCAAUGUUUGCAUGCUCCUUGGUCUGAUUUUCAUGUUUGAAUCUGAAGUUUGUGUCGUAAAGUGGGAGGAUUAGAUGGUGUUCUUGUUGUUUAAAUUAGUAUCUUGUUAGAAAGCUACGGAAAGUUUGCAAAUCCGAAUUGCAGCAGAGACGUUUAGCUGGAAAUUGCAGAAGCAUUCUCUUCGUUUGUCUUGCAUGAACUUGCAUGAAAAACUUUUGACAAUUGCACUUUGGCCCCCAAGUCUCCCCUUAUUCCACUAGGACCCUAUCAAUUGAAUAAUCUCCUCAAUUUAGUCCUUGGUAGUUUUAAUUUUGAAACUUCAUUGCUUGCUUUGCUUCAAAUUAACUACCAUGCUUUGUCAAUUGCACUUAAGCCAUGACUUUGGGGGCUUUAUGACCGAAUGAGCUCUUGUUUGCCUAUUUUCUUUAAUCUCUUCAAAUAAAUUGGUACCUUGACCAUUUCUUUUAUUUUGGAGGAUAAAUAAGUGAUUUCACUCCAUUUAGAGCAUCAAUUCAAGGUGGCGGUAUAAUUUCUUUUAUCCCUCUUUGUGUCUCUCCUAUGUGACUCAACGUGCUAAGUGAAUUGCAUGUCUACUUUGCUUUCCUAUUCCUUUUACUUAUGUCAUUUACUUUUUUGUCAUUAAGUUAUUCUUUUAAUGGGGUAUGUGUACACCUCUUGGCUUGUAAUAGAUAGGGCUGUGGCGAGCAAUUUGGUCCAUUUUCCCUUUCCCCUUUUGUUUUAGUUAGUGAAUGUAAUAGGUUCAUUAGCUUGGUUGCAUGCCUACGUGUUAAGUGUUAAUUUGCAUUGUUAGGGCCAUGCAUCUAGUCGAGCAUGCUAAAUGUUAUGUGCUAUGUGUUUAUGAGUGUUUGGCAUGUCUACUCGCUUUUCAUAGCCAUGAAUGAAUGUGAUGGAUGAAUGUACGUUUCCACUAGUCCAACGCUAGUCGGAAUUCAUAGAAUGGGCUAGUCCAACGCUAGACCCUUAGGGAUUUCCCCUCGUUAGUACAUGUUUGCAUGUUCAUUACAUGUCAUGCAUUCUUCUUAGUUUUAUCAUUUUGCAUGCACCUCGAACCCCUUUUCCCUCCAUUUUAGGAUUUUUGCAUUUCAUGCUAGUUAUAGGGUUCAUUUGCUUGAGAGUCCCCUUAAAUAUGGGAUAUAGACGAGUGUGGCUUUUUCCAAGCCUUAGCACGCUUGUAUUCCCUCUACAAAAGGGUAAAUUGAGUCACGAUUUAGGUCUCCCCGUAC
rnacentral:lncRNA from 1 species